rfam:Blattabacterium sp. (Cryptocercus punctulatus) str. Cpu, complete genome.
GCCGGUGUAGCUCAGAUGGUCAGAGCACGUGAUUUGUAAUCUCGGUGUCGUGGGUUCGAAUCCCUCCUCCGGCU